CCUACGGGUGGCAGCAGUAGGGAAUAUUGCUCAAUGGGGGAAACCCUGAAGCAGCAACGCCGCGUGGAGGAUGAAGGUUUUCGGAGUGUAAACUUCUUUUGUUAGAGAAGAUAAUGACGGUAUCUAUAGAAUAAGCACCGGCUAACUCCGUGCCAGCAGCGGCGGUAAUACGGAGGGUGCAAGCGUUACUCGGAAUCACUGGGCGUAAAGCGCGCGUAGGCGGGUUAGCAAGUCAGAUGUGAAAUCUUAUGGCUUAACCAGAGAACUGCAUUUGAAACUGUUAUUCUAGAGUAUGGGAGAGGUAGGUGGAAUUCUUGGUGUAGGGGUAAAAUGCGUAGAGAUCAAGAGGAAUACUCAUUGCGAAGGCGGCCUACUAGAACAUAACUGACGCUGAUGCGCGAAAGCGUGGGGAGCAAACAGGAUUAGAUACCCGGGUAGUC
rnacentral:rRNA from 1 species